GAUGAAGAACGUAGCGUAAUGCGAUAAGUAGUGUGAAUUGCAGAAUUCAGUGAAUCAUCGAAUCUUUGAACGCACAUUGCGCCCUUUGGUAUUCCAAAGGGCAUGCCUGUUCGAGCGUCAUUUGUACCCUCAAGCUUUGCUUGGUGUUGGGCGUCUUGUCUCUAGCUUUGCUGGAGACUCGCCUUAAAGUAAUUGGCAGCCGGCCUACUGGUUUCGGAGCGCAGCACAAGUCGCACUCUCUAUCAGCAAAGGUCUAGCAUCCACUAAGCCUUUUUUUCAACUUUUGACCUCGGAUCAGGUAGGGAUACCCGCUGAACUUAAGCAUAUCAAUAAGCGGAGGA
rnacentral:misc_RNA from 1 species